AUAAGCGGAGGAAAAGAAACUAACAAGGAUUCCCCUAGUAACUGCGAGUGAAGCGGGAAAAGCUCAAAUUUAAAAUCUGGCAGUUUUGGCUGUCCGAGUUGUAGUCUGGAGAAGCGUUUUCCGCGCUGGACCGUGUACAAGUCUCUUGGAACAGAGCGUCAUAGAGGGUGAGAAUCCCGUCUUUGACACGGACUACCAGUGCUUUGUGAUGCGCUCUCAAAGAGUCGAGUUGUUUGGGAAUGCAGCUCAAAAUGGGUGGUAAAUUCCAUCUAAAGCUAAAUAUUGGCGAGAGACCGAUAGCGAACAAGUACCGUGAGGGAAAGAUGAAAAGCACUUUGGAAAGAGAGUUAAACAGUACGUGAAAUUGCUGAAAGGGAAACGCUUGAAGUCAGUCGCGUCGUCUAGAACUCAACCUUGCUUUUGCUUGGUGCACUUUCUAGUUGACGGGCCAACAUCAGUUUUGACUGCUGGAAAAAAGCCUUUGGAAUGUGGCACCUCCGGGUGUGUUAUAGCCUUGGGUUGUAUACAGUGGUUGGGACUGAGGACCGCAGCACGCCGUAUGGCCGGGGUUCGCCCACGUACGUGCUUAGGAUGUUGGCGUAAUGGCUUUAAGCGACCCGUCUUGAAACACGGACCAAGGAGUCUAACAUGCCUGCAAGUGUUUGGGUGGAAAACCCGAGCGCGCAAUGAAAGUGAAAGUUGGGAUCCCUGUCGUGGGGAGCACCGACGCCCAUACCAGACCUUCUGUGACGGAUAUGCGGUUGAGCAUGUAUGUUGGGACCCGAAAGAUGGUGAACUAUGCCUGAAUAGGGUGAAGCCAGAGGAAACUCUGGUGGAAGCUCGUAGCGAUUCUGACGUGCAAAUCGAUCGUCAAAUUUGGGUAUAGGGGCGAAAGACUAAUCGAACCAUCUAGUAGCUGGU
rnacentral:rRNA from 1 species